UGCUGUCUGCAUCAAUAUAAGAUGAGAUCAUCCGCAGUUGACGUCCAUCCCAAUUGGAAAGAAAAACUUCCAUUUAUGGACACUUAUGUAGGAUAGAACGGGGCUAUAUGGUACAUACAGACAAAGAUGUGGUGAUACAUGAUGGACAGUCUCAUUGUGGACCUUGACAAAGUGCUGGACGACUUUGAAGCAGAAGAGAAGGAAUCAUCACGGAAUACUCGUCAGUCCCCUACAGACUACUCUGAAUAUAUCAAUGCCAACGAUGAUCGACCCUGGGACGAAAUUAGUCAAGUACCAAUCAGUACCAACUCUGCAUGGACAUCUUACAGCUCUGAGGAUGAAAAAUGCUCAACGGCUGUCUACGAUGUACCCUAUAUUCCGGCAGAAACAUUCGACUUGUCUGAAGCCGACUUUGCACCGUCUGUUGGGAAAAGUGGGAAAAGUACAUACACAGGGCCUCUAGAUACAAAAGUGGAAGAUAUCUAUGAUAACUUUACCAACGAUAUUCAAAACGCUAUUCAAAAGCAAGAAAAUUUGCUAAAAGCAGUAACUACAGGUCACCAAGACAACGGAAAAUUGGACAAUGAUGUUCAAGGUGAAUUCAAGCAAUUCAAUUCUUUUUCCACAGUGAGUAAUUCCAAUGUUAUCAACAAUUAUUCCGGUACGAUAGAUCUAAGUUGUAAACGUAAUGAUGUGGUCGUGGAUACGGCGGGUGACGAUUAUACAAAAGUGACGGAAGAUCAGUCGAUAUCACCGGAGCAAAACUUAAGUCCAAAUUCUAAUUUACACUCCCCGAAUAAGGGAGGACAAUCAACGACGGUGUUUGUUGCAGACAACACUAACUGCAAAUACCCAAUACAGGUUGUGGACAGGUUUACGCCGGUUGUGGAAAAUAAACAAUUUGAACCUUCAGUGCCAACAGAUAUUAGUCGAGUAACUGAGCACAUGCCAAAUCAUCUGGAUGAGAGCAAAAGUAAUAACUUUGUUGCAAAUGGAGGGUUUGAUAAGCCCCUGUUAAGUGAAAGUCCAAUGGAGGAAGAAGAUAGUUUGAUGGGUCGUAACGAAAUGGACGCAACUGAUUCACAAGUAUCGUCUUUAUCUAGUCAGAACGAGGCCCUGCCUGUCACAGAUCUGGUUACCAAGCAUAUAAACAGUUCAGAUUUGUCUCCGAAUCAGUGUCACAAUUCUAAUUCAAUGCAAAUGGAUAAUGAGAGACCGACCAAUGGGUUUGUCGCUGGGAGCGAACUAGAAAUAGAACCAAGUGAUGUUAACCAAGAGGAGGCCACAAUGCAAUGUGAAGGAGUGGGAAUGGACGCUCCCAAAAUAUCUGACAUGACUGGCAACUCCGUAGAAAUGUCUACCAACGCCAAUGCCACUGGCGAUGUGGUCGGAUUUGGUGAGGUUGAUAGUGACAUGACAGAAAGCGACAUUAAUUCUUACUUAAAUGGUAUGCAGUGUGAUCCAGGAUCAAUGGUCGCCGGUGACCAACAGUCGGGCGUGGAUAUUACAAGUCCUAACCAUGCAAAUAUAUUAAACGAAAGAGGUUAUGCAAAAAACUUUGAUUUGGUCAAUGCACUUGCAAAUAAAACCUCAAAACCGGGAACUACCAAUGAACAAGUUAUGUCUGGCAAUUUGGAUGAAGGUUCGUGUGAUGUGAGUUGUUUGAAAAAUAAGCAAGUGAAUAUUUCAGGAGAGGAAAGGAUCAUUGAUUCGCCUGUGAUAGAAAUGUACCCUCCUCGGGCAGACACGGGACUUACCUCACCCAGUACUGCUAUCCAAAACUACAUUGCUCUGGAUGGACAGACUUCACCAACAGGAAGCUCAAUAUCAUCAUUUGGGGAAGGUGCACGUCCCAAGGAACUGUCACGACCCAACAGCCUUCGAGGCUUGUCAAUUGUUCCCUUCGAGACACCAUCGAAUAUCUCAAAAGAGCCUGGUGUGGUUUCCAGUCCCGAGGAGAAUGGGGAAGUUUGUCUGAGCACUGAAGGUGUUUCUUCCCUGGAGCCUAUAGCCAGCCAAAUAAUUCAGUGUAUACAGGCAAACCACGACUGUCAAACAGAGGCUGAUGAUGCACUAAAAACUGAUGUCGUGAAUCGCUGUGUCGACGAAGAAAUUGAGGCGAGCAAAAGUGUGACUGACCCUGCCUCUCACGGGCUGUCAGAGGGAGAGGCCGGGGAUGUAGACAUGGAAGACGCACCUGUAAUGCGGAGGUCACAUGAUCCUCCUCCUUAUACUAAUGACUCACAACGACCUAGUUCUUGGAGCCCUGCAGGACCCACAUUGGCGGUGCCCCCUCAACAAAAACGUCCUAACAGUCUAAAUCUCCCGUCCCGGGGCGACUUGGUUGUGGGUAACUCUGAGAGGACACAAGCUCCCUUUAUAUUUCCUUAUCAGGAAUCAAACGUGGAAACGGCCACACCUGAAUCCAUGGAAACACCUGAAGCUGAUGUCCAAGGACCUGCCACCGAAGCACCAACAAAGGAACCAGAGGAGAGCCCAGAUGAGAUGAGUGGAGCUGUAGGUAGUGUCCCCGAGGAAAUCAUCCCAACGAUGGAUGUCGAGCCGUCAGCAGCACCGACAGAAAAUGCCCUGGGUAAAGUGGCACCCAGGUGGAUUCCUGAUGCAGAAGCACCCUUGUGUAUGGGUUGUGAGGCAAAGUUUACUUUCACAAAGAGAAGACAUCAUUGCCGUGCUUGUGGAAAGGUGUUUUGCUCAACAUGCUGUAAUCUGAGAAGUCGACUGGAAUAUAUGGAAAACAAAGAAGCAAGAGUGUGUCUGUCAUGUCAUCAACAACUGGCAAUAGCGGAAAUGACCAGUGGAUCAGGUCGCAGUCCCAAUCCCAAUAACCCCAGCGAAUACUGCUCCACCAUUCCUCCCACACAGCAGGUGUCCUCCCGAUCACCCCCUCCCACCGUCAUGGUACCCGUGGGGGUGCUAAAGAGAGAGGGAAGCUCUAAACGAUCCGAGCCAAAACAGGUGAUGUUUUCUGACGGGAUCCGACCUGGUGGUGAUCUGACCGAGCUAGAUGGUUCAGAUGCUGCAAACAAACUGCCCCCUCGACGCACAAGUAGGGCCCAAAAACGGGUCGACAGAGGUUCCCCAGAAUCUGGAAGAUCCAGUAGAAAGUCUCGUCAUAGUGAGGCGCGGAGAAACAAAUGUCUGAUACCAGAGAAUGGUCUGCCACCCGUAAUAUUAACCAAAACAGAUAAUGCAAUGGAUGAGCACCCCGACAUGGCUGAAUACUUACCGCAAAUCAAAGAUGAGGAGGCAGAGCCUGUGAUGUUUGCUGUCAAUUACAAUCUGUCUGUUCUCGUCAAAAUUGUCACACUUGACUGCUGUGUGAACAGGACCUGUUGGUGUUUAACCACUAAAGGCAUGUGUACAGUCGGACAGGAUGAAAUUGUCAUUGUUCUUGAGGUCCUGCCCGAUGAGGCCACACUUCCUCGGGACAUCCUCUGUCAUUUCCAGACCAUGUAUGAGGAGGCAGGCAAAGGUAACACUGUCUCGGACAUGGGCCACACGAUAUUUAACCAGAGUUUCCUGAACAGCCGUGACCAUGGUGGGAUGUUGUAUAUUUACCCCACGUUCCAGUGUCUGCACAAACUGGUACUGCCAAAGCCACCCUACGUGUUUGGGAUACUACUACAGAAGUGGGAGACCCCCUGGGCCAAGGUCUUCCCCAUCAGAUUGCUGCUGCGACUUGGUGCUGAGUACAGAUAUUACCCGUGUCCUUUGAUUAGUGUGCGGAACAGGAAGCCGGUGUUUUUUGAGAUCGGCCAUACAAUCAUGAACCUGCUGGCAGACUUUAGGAACUUUCAGUACAUGCUGCCCCAGAUAAAGGGAGUCACUAUACAUAUGGAAGACAAGAAAACUAUCAUGAAUUUCCCCAGAAACAGAUAUGAUGAUUUGAUGAAGGUUGUGAGUAACAGUAACGAGCAUGUGAUGGCCAUCGGAGCAAGCUUCAGCUCUCAAGCCGACUCCCACCUGGUGUGUAUACAGAAUGAUGACGGCAACUACCAGACACAGGCUAUCAACAUACAGAACAAACCCCGGAAAGUGACUGGAGCGAGUUUUGUGGUGUUUAAUGGUGCUCUGAAGACAAGUUCAGGUUUACGUGCAAAGUCCAGUAUCGUAGAAGAUGGUCUGAUGGUACAGAUAACGCCGGACUCCAUGGUGGCCCUGAAACAGGCCAUGAAGGAUAUGCGGGAGUACACAGUCGAGUGUGGUAGCAUCACAAACCCUGCCCCUGACGAGGUUGUCAUGAUGCAGUGGGUUGAUGAUGACAAAAACAUCAACAUUGGAGUGAAAAGUCCUGUGGACAGCAUGCUGAUGGACGGCAUCGAGAGUAUCCACAUCCCUAAUGCCACUGACUACGUAGGAGAGACCUAUAUUAUCAGGUGGACAGAUGUGUUCUUCAUACAAAACGAGGACUCCGGCUCAGCUAAGUGGGAGCCGGUAGACCUCAGCCGAUUGGCAGAGACACUGUCCAAUGCCUGCUGCAUAGCUUUAACACGACACCUUGACUCGCUUCAUGAUGCGUCUCUCACAAAGAUUGGACUGCGAGUCAACAUUGAACCAGAGAAAGUUGGUUAUGAAAUAGGUGCCAAUGAAGACAAGUUACCAGAUGCUUACAUGAAUGACCUUGACAAUGAACUCAUCCCAGUGAUACACAGUGCAGCCUCUCAGAGCCAUGGGGGUGCCAUAGUAUUAGAACUCAUUUUUCAUGUGCUGAAGUGACCUCCGUUAACCCGUAGGACUUGUUUCAGAGACGCUUUUGUUCACGUUUGUCACUAGAAUACACUUCAAUGACACUUCGUUUUAUUUCAGAGCAAUCUUUGUUAAAUUUUGUCACAUUGAUGUGCUAAUAAGUGAGUUUUUUCUUGACCUUUGUCUCUUGAGAGUUUUUGAAUGAGGUGUGUUCACUCUGUGACCUUUGUUGACCUUUAUCAUUGAAACUUACUUCAGUGACUUUUGUUCUCUUUUAAUAUUUAAGAACUUGAGUGACUUCUGUUGAUCACAGUCAUUUAAGAAUUCUUCAGUGACCUUUGUUGACCUUCAUUACUAAAACAUACUUUACCAGAGUGAAUUUGUUGACCUUUAUCACUGGGACGUAACCGAGUGACCUUUGUUGACCUUCAUUACUAAAAGUGACCUCUGUUGAUCAUUAUCACUUGAGCGUACACGCGUGACCUUUGUUGACCUUUAUCACUGGAACGUAACAGAGUGACCUUUGUUGAUCAUAAUCACAUGAGCGUACCCGAGUGACCUUUGUUGACCUUAUUCACUGGACCAUACUGGAGUGACCUUUGUUGACCUUUUUGACUGGAGCGUACCUGAAUGACUUUUGUUGACCUUAUUCACUGGACCAUACCUGAGCGAUUUUUGUUGUCCAUAUUCACAGGGGCAUUGUUGAUUUUACUCACUAGUAUUCUUGAGUAACUUUGCUGACCUUUUUCACUAAAGUAUACCGGAGUGACUUGUGUUGAUCUUAUUCACUGGAGCGUACCUGAAUGACUUGUUGACCUGAUUCACUGGAGCAUACCUGCGUGACUUGUUGACCUUAUUCACUGGAGCAUACCUGAAUGACUUGUUGACCUGAUUCACUGGAGCGUACCAGAGUGACCUUUGUUGACCAUAAUCACAGGGGCAUACCUGAGUGACUUUUGUUGACCUUAAUUACUGGAGCGUACCUGAGUGACUUUUGUUGACCUGUAUCAUUGGAGCGUACCAGAGUGACCUUUGUUGACAUAAAUCACUGGAGCGUACCAAAGUGACCUGUGUUGACCUAAAUCACUGGAGCAUACCUGAGUGACUUUUGUUGACUUAAAUCACUAGAGCAUACCUGAGUGACUUUUGUUGACCUGUAUCUUUGGAGUGACCAGAUUUGAUCAUUGUUGACUUUAAUCACUUAGGUGUACCUGAAUGACCUUUGUUGACCUGUAUCAUUGGAGCGUACCAGAGUGACCUUUGUUGACCUAAAUCACUGGAGCAUACCUGAGUGACUUUUGUUGACCUUAAUUACUGGAGCGUACCUGAGUGGAUUUUGUUGACCUUAAUCACUGGAGCAUACCUGAGUGACUUUUGUUGACCUGUAUCAUUGGAGCAUACCUGAGUGACCUUUGUUGACCUAAAUCACUGGAGUGUACCAGAGCAACCUUUGUUGACCUAAAUUACUGGAGCAUACCUGAGUGACAUUUGUUGACCUAAAUCACUGGAGCAUACCUGAGUGACUUUUGUUGACCUUAAUCACUGGAGCAUACCUGAGUGACUUUUGUUGACCUUAAUUACUGGAGCGUACCUGAGUGGAUUUUGUUGACCUUAAUCACUGGAGCAUACCUGAGUGACUUUUGUUGACCUAUAUCACUGGAACGUACCAGAGCGACCUUUGUUGACCUGUAUCACUGGAGCGUACCUGAGUGACUUUUGUUGACCUGAAUCACUGGAGCGUACCUGAGUGACUUUUCUUGACCUAUAUCAGUACAUGUAUAUGAAACUAAUCUGGGCAUUGCUGUGUUUAUACAGCGUGAAACUUAAUCAAUUUGUUAACAUUUUAUCAACACCACUGUUAAUUAAUUUUCACUAAGCAGUGUUAGCUAACUCAACAUUGAUCUUAUCAAUAUUCAGGUUCAUCCUCUCCUACACUGCUGUGUGGGUAAUCACAGGUUACUAUUACAAAUGUUUGUGUGUGUGUGUGUGUGUGUGAUAAUUUAUUGAUGUUUGAGUACCAUGAAGUCUUACAUAUAUUUUGUAUUCAAACACCAAAUAACAAACUCCCAUACAGUGUAUAGGGCAUUUACUAACUUUGAAGACAUACACAAUUCAACAUAUAUGUAAAAUAUGGUCAUGAACAAUCAAAAUUGAAAGUGAAUUCAACUACAGGUAAAAUUAUGUUAACUAAGGUUAAACUGUAAAUUUUGUUAAAUUACUGAAGAUUUUUUUCUGACAGCAAGGGAAGAAAAAUGAUGGCUACUGGGAAUGAACCGAUGCAGUGGUAUUAAGGACACAUGCUACCUGUAACAUGUUACGAUGUAUCUCCUUUCCAAGAGAGCGACACACUAGAAAGCAUGAAAAGCUCGGUCAUGAUGGUGUUUUAGUCGCAAGGAUCUUCGUACCACUGCCAAAAGAUGUAAUUUUGCAUUGGAAACGUUUUUUUCUGGCACGAUAAAUCCUUGUUGCAAAGAAAACCAUUCCCUCCAUAACUUUUAUGAAAAAUGCAACAGUGUCAGAUGAGGAUUCGGACCCUUUACUCUCAAUGCAGGCAAUGGUGCUCUAUCUACCCGAGUUACCUGGUAAAUGGCAGUUUACAGACCCAGUAGCGCUACAGUUAUAUCUAAAAAGAAAUUAACGGGAAGUUAAUGUUCGUACAAAAUAUUACAGCGGAAUUUCUCUAGUGCUUUGCAUACAGUGGGACGGAGAUCUUUAAUACAGUAUAAUGAAACAUGGAAAAAGUAUAUUGAAAACUCGGAUAAAUCAUUUAAAGGGAGAUAACUCUAACAGAAACCAUGGCCGCUUUCAUUUAUCACGUUCCAAACGGUUGGAAAAGUGGACCAAAGUUGUUCUUUUAUGAAAUAGAGACCGAUCUAGCAAUUUGAUGUUGUUUUCCGGUGAAUCUUGGCUUUCAAGGACCGCAUGAACAAUAAAGGUCUGUCAAGGUUUUACCCCUGAAAUAAAACACAUAAACUGGCUGGUCCGCAUAAACAAACAGGCCCUACAGGGAUAAAGUGUCGGGUAAUAUGUAGCUAUAAGGAGGUUGGCCUACCUGUUUGACAUAUCCAAUUUAGAUUUAUACUAAGUUGACUUACCCUCACUACAGUCUGUGUAAUGACUGUUUCUCCGAAGAAUCUGUAACACAGCCUGUUUGAUAACCGUUUCCCUAUAGGAUCUGUAAUACAGCCUGUUUGAUAACCGUUUCCCUAUAGGAUCUGUAACACAUAAUUUGUGUGAUAGUUGUUACACUACCUUGUUUCUCAUUGCUGUAUUUGACAUAGUAUAUAGUAUUGUUACUACAAAAAUUGUUGUAGAAUUAUAUGUUGAUUCUAUAUUUAUUUAACUGUAAAGGUAUAUGAAAAAAGUUGUGCUGUAUAUAUGUUAUUCUGGUGAAUGUUUCCAAUUAGCUGUUUUUUGUUUUCUGGAAGGUAGAUACUGUCCUUAGUUAUUUAUCACAUUAGCUCAUUUAUUUAUCCAAGACCUUACAAAAAACGCUAAAAGUGUAACUAGCUUCUUUAACAUAAAUAAACACCCCACAUAAAGAUUUCUUUUAUAUUUAUUUGAUGAUUUCAGAAACAAAAUUGUACUGUUCAAAAUCCAAAGUGACAAACAUUUGUAUUUCUAAAUGAUUAUGUAUGCUUGUUAUUUUUAGCUGAAUAUUUUGUUUUGUAUUACAUAAUAAUAUUUGUUAUUCAUUUAUACUGUUUGAUUGGUAAACAGAAGAUUUUUUUGUGUGAUUUUGUCAAAAAAUGUUUUUUCCCUUCUGUAUCGUAUCUCUGCAAGACUGUGAAUCCAUUAAGUAGGCGUAUGAUAACACAGAAUGUAUGUACCAGUAAAGGUGUAUGGCUCUCUCAUACCUGUCCGGUGUCAUGGUUGCCAGGUAACACGUCUGAUGAAAUGUUGUAAUCAGUUGCACCGACAAUACUUACUCAUGAUAUGGAGACCAAAAAACACAUCACGAAACUUUCAUUUUUCAUUUUCACCAGGAAGACUUCAAAUUAGAGCUGAAUGGUUAAACACACAGUCUCAAAUCAUAACAUUUUGUUUUUUUUAAAGCAUUACUUGUUAGGGAUACUCUCUCUGAAAUAAGAAUUCAUAGAUCUGACAAUAAAAUUAACAUAAUAUGUUAGGAAACCUGAAUUGGAUAGCUAUAUAUUAAGUUUAGAAAGGUAUUCUAGGAUACAAUUACAGACGUUUGUAGCAACACAAAGUAAGUUUAUAAAGGUAUUCUAGGAUACACUGACUUGUGUAGCUAUAUAAACUACUGACCUGAUAGCUUUAGAAAGAUAUUUUAGGAUACAGUUACAGACUUAAGUAGCUUUAUAAAGUAGAUUUAUAAAAGUAUUCUAGGAUAUAGAGACUUUAUAGUAGCUAUAUGAAGUAAGUCUUUAAAGAUAUUUUGGAAUGCACAGAAUUGUGUAACUGUCUGAACAAGUUUUCUAAAGAUAUUCUUGGAUACAUUGAUUGAUAUACUGUAGAAUCAUUUAUUUUCGUGGGGUUAAAAUUUCGGGGUUUUCAUACACUAGCCUGUUUCAAGGACAUUAUAUUUUGCUGAUUUCUGAUUUUCUCCUAUCUAUGUCAUACAAAAUUUAUGUAUUUGUUGGGAUUUAAUUUCUAGGAUUUUUGUUAUCCACGAAAUAAACGAAAUUUAAUGUCCCACGAAAAUUUGUGAUUUUACAGUAACUAUAAAAAGUAAGUCUAUGAAGAUAUUCUGGUAAACACAGACUUGGGUAGCUAUCUAACAAGUUUUCUAAAGCACACUGAUUUGUGUAGCUAUGUAAAUGAGGUUUAUAAAAGUAUGCCUGGACACCAUUACUGGUUCGUGUGGCUAUAGCAUUUGUGUAGUUGAUUGUACAAGACCUGAACUGAACCCACAUCGUGUUAGUAAAUAGUUCGGGGUUUUUUUCUUCAAAUAUGUAGAUAGCUGAGUGCAAGAAUGUUAAAAUAAAACAAUAUAGAUGUAUGAUAUAGUUUAACUUGUGAUGGUUGUGUGGCCUCUACUGUUAUAGGGUUUGUGAUAUGUUUUAGAAUGUAUGAGAUAAAAAACAUUGUAUAAAAAUUAUGUAAUAACAGAAUUAUGUUUGUGAUUACAUUCAUUAUUUACACUCUUGAGUAUAGAGCCCUUUCAGUGUGUGUAGAAACAAACUUUGUUAGUAUGUAGAUUUAACAGAGGGCAUACCAAAACUUGAUGAAAAAGUAUGUAUUCCGCAAUUGAAGGGGAACCUCUCAAAUUAUUUUCCUGUCUGGGAAAAUAAAAUGGAAACGAACAUCCUUUUGUGUCUGAUAUUUCAUGUUAAUUGUCUAUCAUGAGUUACCUUGCAAUAUCUGCCGGUGAAGAUAGAAAUGUGGGGCUACAUCUUCUACUACAGAGAGUGUGGUGUUGU
rnacentral:misc_RNA from 1 species